GCGCCCUUAGCUCAGUUGGAUAGAGCACGGGACUUCUAAUCCUGAGGCCGCAGGUUCGAAUCCUGCAGGGCGCGCCA
rnacentral:tRNA from 13 species